GAUCUUGCAUCGAUAAAAAACAUAACAAAAUGUGAUAUUUAAUGUGAAUUGCAGAAUCCCAUAAAACAUUAAGUUUUUAAACAUAAAUUGCACCCGAAGCCAGAAAACACACCUAUCUGAACAUAU
rnacentral:rRNA from 1 species